rnacentral:lncRNA from 1 species
GUAACAGCCCAAAAUCUCAAGUAUUGCUAAAUUGCAUUUUUGGGGUGUUUUAAAGGGGAGACUCGGCGAGUUGGAGCCAGACUCGCCGAGUAGGGUCGCAGAUUUGGCCGCGGGUUCGCGACUGGACUCGACGAGUCCAGGUAUGGACUCGGCGAGUCGACGCUGUUCAGCGGAAACCCUAGCCGUUUCGUAUUGGGUCGUAUAUAAGGGUUGUUAUGUCGUCAUUUCACGUCUUUUGGCCGAUUGUGGAGAACCCUAGACGACUGUGGCAUCUGGAGCAAAACUUGAAGGCCAUUAUUGACUUUGAAGGAAUUGUGGUGCAAGAAGAGGAAGGGUUUUGGCCAAAGGAAGAGCAAGGAGGUCGAGUUCUGAGGUUUGGGGACACAGAGAGUAUGUUUUCAGGUAAGGUUUCGGAUCAUUCCUGUUAUUUUGAUGUGUACACGAAUCUAGGGUUUAUGAAACCCAUUUGGAGAUUUGAUGGAUUAUUAUGUUGUUAUACAAAGGUUUCUACCCUAGUAAUAGGAUGAUUAGAGGUCCAGAAGUCCCAUGAGUGUGUAUCUCGGGAAAAACGUACCUCAGGAAGCAGUUGGAUCGACUGCAUGGCGUGGACUCGCCGAGUCGGAUGAUCAGACUCGGCGAGUAGCUUGAAGAUUCACUGGGACUCGCCGAGUUGUUCUUCAGACUCGGCGAGUGGAGUCGGGGUGGCCCCGCGAUUCUUCCAGGAGUGACUCGUCGAGUCAAAGAGGAUACUCGACGAGUAGAAGGGGAAUCUCAGAGGAUUGAAGGACGACCAGACUCGCCGAGUCGCCAGGGAACUCGCCGAGUCCAGUCGAGCUGACAUUGGACUGUUGACCAGAGUUGACUGGUGUGAUUUCUUAGGGGCAGUUAACGUGGAAGAUAGAAGUAUUAAAUAAGGGAUAUAUGAUGUUACAGGGAGCUUGUAGCUCGGAGGAUCAAGUGCAAGGGAUUUUAGGAGUUGCUAUCUUCCAGUGUCCGCGAGGUGAGUCUUCUCACUAUACCUCACCCGGAAGGGUUUGAUUGUGUGACCGGAAGGUCAAGUAUGUUAUGUGUUAUGUUUAUAUGCUAUAAAUGGAAAGUUAGCUGCUACGCGUGAUAUACAUGCUUAUAUAUGGGCCGGAAGGCAAGGUAUUAUGUGACAGAAAGGUCAGGUAUGAUAUAUGAUAUAUGUGCUUUAUGUGUUAGAGUAUUUGUAUUAUGUGUUAUAUAUGUGUAUGGGCCGGAAGGCAAUUAUCUUGUGGACCGAAAGGUCCGGGCCGGAAGGCAAUGUUAUGUGGAUCGAAAGAUCCGGGCCGGAAGGCAAUGUUAUGUGGAUCGAAAGAUCCGGGCCGGAAGGCAAUGUUAUGUGGAUCGAAAGAUCCGGGCCGGAAGGCAAUGUUAUGUGGACCGAAAGGUCCGGGCCGGAAGGCGUAUGUGCGUAAGGUAUAUUGGGGAACUCACUAAGCUUCGUGCUUACGUUGUUUAUGUUAUGUUGUUUCAGGUUCUUACAGUAACGCGGGAUGGCAACGGUUCGAUUGUACACACCGAAGAAAGAGUUGUGUUUUGGAGGAUCCUGGUCUUCUAUUAUAAUGAAAAUGAAACUAUGUUUUGUAAUUCGAAUGUGAAUAAGAUUUUAAACAAGUGUUUUUAAUAUUAAAUUGAUUAUUUAAAUGAAAAUUUUGUUUUUGGAAAUCACGGUGUUACAAAUUGGUAUCAGAGCCUUGGUUUGAGGGAUUCGGACGCGCCUACGGGUAAAUCUGGACUCAAACUGAGGAAGUAAGAAAAAGUUUUCCAAAUAAAUGGUUUUCUAAAAGUGAAUAAGAGUUCAAAGAGAAAGCAAGAAAGAGCAGUGUGUACAAUCAGCCAGAGCCAAACGGUGAUUUCCCAAAAUACCCUUACUUUUGUAUUAUGAAAUAUCUAUUAUGCACUUUAUGAGACAUUAUUGCAUGCUAGAGACAGGCUAGGUAUUUCACAUCUUAGGACUAGAGUGGCCUGAUUUGUGAUGCCUUAGUCUAGGGUUUGCUGUUAUAUGUGCGUUAUGCUUUUGUGUGUAUGUGAUGAGUGAGAGUAUCUAGUUAGAACGCACAAGGGGUAAAGCUACGGGGUACAGAGGUACUUCCGAGGAUGAGCCGAGAAGGUGGAGCUACCACAGAUGGGGAGUCCUAUGUAUGCUUCAAUGCUCGAAUGCUGCUUGCUUUGUGCUUUGUGGAGUUAUCGAUGAUGGGAGUCAGCUACUAAGUGAGUAUGACGAUACUCAGGAGGUAGAGGGCUGGCAUCAUUAGGAACUCUUCAGCAGCUGAUAGCAAAGAAGUGGGAGGACAGCGGAAGGGACUAGGGAGUAAACCUAGCCAGAUGAGUGCGCUGGUAGAGUAGAGGAUUUCGCUGGAAAGCGAGCACGCGCGAUGAGAUGGGUGAAAGAGCAGGUUUAUCAGCUACUUAGGAACUCUGGGAUGGUCCGUGUGGAAAGUAUGGGUAGAUGUGGCAGGUAGUAUGGGCCCGUACUACUGAAAGCAGAGGACCCAUACUUGAUACAGGGGGCAUUCUGAAGGUCCUAAGGAACAGAUUGAGGGGUGAUGUUAUGGUUCGGAUACCAUACAUCGGAGCGGAUACAGAGUGAUGUUAUGGUCAGGGCACCAUACAUCGGAACAGAUUGAGAUAGAUGUUGUGGUUCGAGUGCUAUACAUUGGAGCAGAUUGAGGAGUGGUGCUAUGGUUCAGGUACCAUACACCGAAGCAUGUUGAGGAGGGAUGUCAUGGGAUGAGUACCAUGGUUCGUAGUGGAUGAUGCUUGUGGCUAUCUUGUUAUCCGGUUAUCGAUCGGACGAGCACGAGCGAGCGGGAUGCGAGGAUUCGCGAGAUCCGGCGUGAUGAGGUUGCUGCAUUGUUGCGGGCUGAGUCGCCAGAAUUGUUUGGGUCGAUCAGGACCACUAUGAUUGAAGUAGUUUGAUGAGCGAUAUGCGGCUUUCGCAGAGACGGCUGCCGCGGCGGUUACAGCGGCUGUAGCAACGGCAAAGAAAGGGGCUAGUCGGGGUUUUCAGUAUCGGGACUUCUAUUAUGCGAAGCCUCCCACAUUCGAUGGAGUUCAGGACUCGAUUGUUGCUAUGAGAUGGUUAUCAGACAUGGAGGGGUGUUUCUCCACGAGUUUAUGCCCUGCUGAUCAGAGGGUGGGGUGUGCUCUGAACCUAUUGAGGCUCGGGGCGAAGGAUUGGUGGAGAUUGACCACGAGGUCAUUUUCCGAUGCGCAGAGGGCUGCGGUUUCAUGGGAUCAAUUCAGAGGGAUGUUCAGUACUCGCUAUGUUCCGCGGGAUGAAAAGGAGAAAUUGGCUCGGAAGUUCCUUAAGCUGAAGCAGGAUUUGGAGUCGGUGACUGAGAGCACCGGGAUGUUUAUUGAGAGGGCGAUGUUUUGCCCUGAGUUCGCUUCGGAGCAGGCUCAGAUGUCCCGAUAUCCGAGUAUGCUCAAGGGGGGGUAUCAGACAGUUCGUGUCUGCGCAGAGGCGCGAGACCGUGUUGGUAUCGCAGGAGGCCGCCAUGUGGCGUGAGUUAGAGGUUGAGUUGCAGUUGCGUGAGAUGAGGCAGGCCCCGAUGCAGUCGCAGUCGGCGCCGAAACGGUCCAUGACCGUAGACGUUAGAAUGGGGGAUCGGAGCGGUCACACUUGUGGGAAGUGUGAGAGAGAUGGCACCGGAGCUUGUUGGCCCAGUGGUGCAUGCCGCAAGUGCGGAAAGGAGGGGCAUGGUGCACGGGAUUGUCGGCAGUCAGUGCCAAUUCGGGAUUUCAGGAUUUGUUAUCAGUGUCGGCAGGUUGGACAUUUGAGGGUCAACCGUCCACAGUUUCCUGCAGGACCGGUGCAGGCUCUAGCAUCGGCCACCUUGAGGAGUUCAGGAGGAGGACAGGAUGGAGCAGAGCCCAAGGGCUCAGGGUCGUGCUUAUCGGCUUGCGGCAGAGGGAGACGGAGCAGUGCCGGAGGCAGCUGCGGGUAUGAUGCUCUCUUGAUGUCUUGAGUAGCUUGCGUUGAUUGUGGCGUAUUGUUUGUGCUGGUGUCUGGUGUGGAUUUCGAUGCGGUAUUCGUUGUUUCGCGGGUUUGGCAUGGUUAUGGAUUGGUGCUUCAGGUUUUCGCUUGGCAUUCGUUGUUCCCUGAUGGUUUAGUAUGAUUAUAGUUUGGUGUUUUGGUACCGGUAGCCUUGUGCGGUUUUCGAUGCGAUAUUCAACCUUUGGCAGGUUGUGGGUUUGGUUAUGGGUUAUUGCUUGGGAAUUCCGUUGGUCAUCGUUCGUGAGGGUUGAUAGUGGAGAUGCGGCACUGGGUUGAAUGACGGGUAGCAUCUGCAGUUGUGGAGUGGAUAAUUGAAAGAUCGGAUUCUUUUGAGCGGAUUGAUCAGGGAGGAGAUGUGUUUUGCUGAGGGUUGCUUACGCUUGUGGGAAGCAGUCAGUGGGUAAAUGUUCUCUUUGUGCAGGAUGGUUCUGAAAGGUCGUUAAUGACGAUCGGUGGCAGUUAGUCAGUGCUUUAGUGGGGGAGAAUUGUAAAAUUCUCCGGGAGAUCGAUGAGUAUGUAAGGGUGCUUAGCUGUUGGGAUUCAGCAGUGUUUGUCAGCGCAAAGUAUAGGCCGACGAGAGCGAGUGUUGAGUAUGCGGGGCGAGAUACAGACCUAGGGCAUUUGAUUGUGGAGGCCUGAGAGGAGGUCGGGAUCAAGCUUGAGUAAGUAAUCGGAAUUUUGCGAUCAGAGUAUUGGUACGUUUGAGGUACGUGAUGGGUUGUACUGCAUUAAUCCCACGGGAUUAUGUUGUGCAUGUUUCUAGAGCUGGAACCGGAAGGUUCCCAGAGUUAGAACCUGAGGGUUCGCAGAGUUUGGGUGUACGGACCCACAGAGAUAUAGCCUCGAGUGGCUAGUAUGUGUUAUGAGAGUCGGUCCAGUCAUACUGGAGACUCUGUUGGUAUUGCUGGAUUAGUUUGAGAUUUGCGGAUCGCGUAUGUUGCAGUGUGAUUGCAUUGGAAGGUCUGGCCCCGGGUUAUUGAUCUUGUUUAGCGGAGGCAGUGAUUUUGAUGAGUGGAGAGAGUGCAUGGGAUUGAGAGCCCCUGCAAUGAGAACCAGAGUAUGUGAAUAGCAGUUACGCAAAAAGGGUGGUGUCGCUUGGGGCGAGCACCGUGGCACCGGUUGGAGUGGCAUUAUGUUCAAGAGAGUUCCGUGGAAAAGGAAAAGAGGAGGGUAUGUAACUCCGAAGGGGGUGCAAGUUCACGAAAGUGAAAGCUGCAGAGCAGAGUUAUGGUUAGAGUAUUUCGAGUAUGGUUUUGAGCAUCGUGUUCGCGGCAGUGGAGUAGGAACCCAUCCGGUUGGGAUGUCUGUUGAGGCUCAGAAGGGAUGCAUGGAGAGAGAAAAUUUUAAAUUCUCAGUGUGAAUCUGAUCAGAGUGUAGGGUGGAUGUAGUGGUUCAUCUUGGGAGAUGUUCGAGGAUAUCAUCAGUGUAUCGGGUCUUUCCACCUGCGGGUGUUGGGACUAGUUCAGUAUGUGUAUGUGAUGGCAAGAGGGAACUUGUGAGAGUUGAUCUGAGAGGGAGAACGGAUCUCUCAGUCGGUCCAGAAUGGGCAAAGUGGGCUUUGGAUCGGGGAUCCGGUGGUUCAGGGUUUCCUAACCCUUAUGGGUUGAGUGAUCGUUGAGAUUUGGAGCAGAGUGCAUCUUGGGUAAUUUCCGAUUACAGAGAGUGAUGAGCAGUUCAGAGUUCGUACUUUAGUUGACAAAGCAGACUCAGCAGGUUAAAGAGAGUUAGUGAUCGUCUAGAGUUAACAGGAAAGUUAUGCAGGCAGACGCCGUUACGAGCAUGUGAUUCAGGUCAGCGACUUCGUAUUUCUGACGGGGUGCUUCGAUUUAGGAAGAGGGGUAAAUGGGGGGCCCCGGUAUGUUGGGUCUUUUCGUGAAGGUGCGAAGGUAGGAAGGGUGGCCUAUCGUUUGGAGCUGUCAACGGAAUUGGGACGGAUCCAUGACACUGGUAUGUGUCGCAGUUGAAGAGGUGUAUAGCGGAUGAGUCAGCAGUGGUUCUACUAGAGAACGAUUAGGUGGAUGCGAGCCUGUGUUACGUCGAGAGGCCAGUGGCCGUCGGAGAUCGGAAGAUCAAGGUUCUGAGGAACAAGGAGGUACCUCUGGUAUUGGUUCAGUAGCGGCCUCGGAAGAUAUCGGAAGUGUUUAGGGAAGCCGAAACGUGUGAUGCGGGAGCAGCAUCCAGAACUAUUUUCAGAGUGAGACUUCGAGGGCGAAGUCUAAUUCUAGUGGGGGAGAAUUGUAACAGCCCAAAAUCUCAAGUAUUGUUAAAUUGCAUUUUGGGGUGUUUUAAAGGGGAGACUCGGCGAGUUGGAGCCAGACUCGCCGAGUAGGGUCGCAGAUUUGGUCGCGGGUUCGCGACUGGACUCGACGAGUCCAGGUAUGGACUCGGCGAGUCGACGCUGUUCAGCAGAAACCCUAGCCGUUUCGUAUUGGGUCGUAUUUAAGGGUUGUAAUGUCGUCAUUUCACGUCUUUUGGCCGAUUGUGGAGAACCCUAGACGACUGUGGCAUCUGGAGCAAAACUUGAAGGCCAUUAUUGACUUUGAAGGAAUUGUGGUGCAAGAAGAGGAAGGAUUUUGGCCAAAGGAAGAGCAAGGGGGUCGAGUUCUGAGGUUUGGGGACACAGAGAGUAUGUUUUCAGGUAAGGUUUCGGAUCAUUCCUGUUAUUUUGAUGUGUACACGAAUUUAGGGUUUAUGAAACCCAUUUGGAGAUUUGAUGGAUUAUUAUGUUGUUAUACAAAGGUUUCUACCCUAGUAAUAGGAUGAUUAGAGGUCCAGAAGUCCCAUGAGUGUGUAUCUCGGGAAAAACGUAUCUCAGGAAGCAGUUGGAUCGACUGCAUGGCGUGGACUCGCCGAGUCGGAUGAUCAGACUCGGCGAGUAGCUUGAAGAUUCACUGGGACUCGCCGAGUUGUUCUUCAGACUCGGCGAGUGGAGUCGGGGUGGCCCCGCGAUUCUUCCAGGAGUGACUCGUCGAGUCAAAGAGGAUACUCGACGAGUAGAAGGGGAAUCUCAGAGGAUUGAAGGACGACCAGACUCGCCGAGUCGCCAGGGAACUCGCCGAGUCCAGUCGAGCUGACAUUGGACUGUUGACCAGAGUUGACUGGUGUGAUUCUUAGGGUCAGUUAACGUGGAAGAUAGAAGUAUUAAAUAAGGGAUAUAUGAUGUUACAGGGAGCUUGUAGCUCGGAGGAUCAAGUGCAAGGGAUUUUAGGAGUUGCUAUCUUCCAGUGUCCGCGAGGUGAGUCUUCUCACUAUACCUCACCCGGAAGGGUUUGAUUGUGUGACCGGAAGGUCAAGUAUGUUGUGUGUUAUGUUUAUAUGCUAUGAAUGGAAAGUUAGUUGCUACGCGUGAUAUACAUGCUUAUAUAUGGGCCGGAAGGCAAUGUAUGUGGAUCAAAAGAUCCGGGCCGGAAGGCAAUGUUAUGUGGAUCGAAAGAUCCGGGCCGGAAGGCAAUGUUACGUGGACCGAAAGGUCCGGGCCGGAGGGCGUAUGUGCGUAAGGUAUAUUGGGGAACUCACUAAGCUUCGUGCUUACGUUGUUUACGUUAUGUUGUUUCAGGUUCUUACAGUAACGUGGGAUGGCAACGGUUCGAUUGUACACACCGAAGAAAGAGUUAUGUUUUGGAGGAUCCUGGUCUUCUAUUAUAAUGAAAAAGAAACUAUGUUUUGGAAAUUCGAAUGUAAAUAAGAUUUUAAGCAAGUGUUUUUAAUAUUAAAUUGAUUAUUUAAAUGAAAAUUUUGUUUUUGGAAAUCCUGGUGUUACAAUCCAUACAGACGGAUUACGCGGGGCAUACUUCAACGUACGCUAAGGGUACAGGCAGAAUGGUGAGUACGCGGUGCGUACAUCAGUUUACGCGGGGCGUAAACUCGCUGAACUCAAAGUCCCCAUAAGUCCAUAAUGGCUUAAGCUCUUAAGCCCACACUUCAGAUCUAUCGACCAAACAUGCCUAGGAUCCAUAAAGUCUCAAACUUUAUCACUUGGGACGUCCAAAAAAGCUCUUAAUCCAAGGUAUUAAUCCAUUAAGACCUAUCUAUAUCACAUAUGAGACAACCAAAGCCCUUGGGACCUCAUUUUUCUUAGUCAAGACCUCUCCUAAGGUCUAAAAGGACAGCUAAUCUCAGCCAACUCGAAUCAUGCAGCAAGAUGAGGUUUUUGGGACAAGAAUGGUGUCAAAACUUCACAACACAUAGAUCUACACAAUAUGAUUGUCAAU